rnacentral:rRNA from 1 species
GACGAACGCUGGCGGCGUGCUUAACACAUGCAAGUCGAACGGAAAGGCCCUGCUUUUGUGGGGUGCUCGAGUGGCGAACGGGUGAGUAACACGUGAGUAACCUGCCCUUGACUUUGGGAUAACUUCAGGAAACUGGGGCUAAUACCGGAUAGGAGCUCCUGCUGCAUGGUGGGGGUUGGAAAGUUUCGGCGGUUGGGGAUGGACUCGCGGCUUAUCAGCUUGUUGGUGGGGUAGUGGCUUACCAAGGCUUUGACGGGUAGCCGGCCUGAGAGGGUGACCGGCCACAUUGGGACUGAGAUACGGCCCAGACUCCUACGGGAGGCAGCAGUGGGGAAUAUUGCACAAUGGGCGGAAGCCUGAUGCAGCAACGCCGCGUGCGGGAUGACGGCCUUCGGGUUGUAAACCGCUUUCGCCUGGGACGAAGCGUGAGUGACGGUAAUGGGUAAAGAAGCACCGGCUAACUACG